AGAGUUUGAUCAUGGCUCAGAACGUACGCUGGCGGCACGCCUAACACAUGCAAGUCGAACGAAGUAGCAAUACUUAGUGGCAGACGGGUGAGUAACAUGUGGGUAUCUGCCCUUUGGCCUGGAAUAACACGAGGAAACUUGUGCUAAUACCAGAUAAGUCUUUACGGAGAAAGCUUUAUGCACCAUUGGAUGAGCCCGCACUUGAUUAGUUUGUUGGUGGGGUAAAGGCCUACCAAGACUGUGAUCAAUAGCUGAUUUGAGAGGAUGAUCAGCCACAUUGGGACUGAGACACGGCCCAAACUCCUACGGGAGGCAGCAGUGGGGAAUCUUGCACAAUGGAGGAAACUCUGAUGCAGCGAUGCCGCGUGAGUGAAGAAGGCCCUUGGGUUGUAAAGCUCUUUCGUCGGGGAAGAAAAUGACUGUACCCGAAUAAGAAGGUCCGGCUAACUUCGUGCCAGCAGCCGCGGUAAUACGAAGGGACCUAGCGUAGUUCGGAAUUACUGGGCUUAAAGAGUUCGUAGGUGGUUGAAAAAGUUGGUGGUGAAAUCCCAGAGCUUAACUCUGGAACUGCCAUCAAAACUUUUCAGCUGGAGUUUGAUAGAGGAAAGCAGAAUUUCUAGUGUAGAGGUGAAAUUCGUAGAUAUUAGAAAGAAUACCAAUUGCGAAGGCAGCUUUCUGGAUCAUUACUGACACUGAGGAACGAAAGCAUGGGUAGCGAAGAGGAUUAGAUACCCUCGUAGUCCAUGCCGUAAACGAUGUGUGU
rnacentral:rRNA from 1 species